UACGUAGGGUGCAAGCGUUAAUCGGAAUUACUGGGCGUAAAGCGUGCGCAGGCGGUUUUGUAAGUCUGUCGUGAAAUCCCCCGGGCUCAACCUGGGAAUUGCGAUGGAGACUGCAAGGCUAGAAUCUGGCAGAGGGGGGGUAGAAUUCCACGUGUAGCAGUGAAAUGCGUAGAGAUGUGGAGGAACACCGAUGGCGAAGGCAGCCCCCUGGGUCAAGAUUGACGCUCAUGCACGAAAGCGUGGG
rnacentral:rRNA from 1 species